rnacentral:tRNA from 1 species
GCCGAGGUAGCUCAGUGGUAGAGCAGGUGCCUGAAGAGCAUCGUGUCGCGAGUCCGAUUCUCGCCCUCGGCACCA